UUUAAAGAGAGUUUGAUCCUGGCUCAGGACGAACGCUGGCGGCGUGCCUAAUACAUGCAAGUCGAACGAACGGAGGAAGAGCUUGCUCUUCCAAAGUUAGUGGCGGACGGGUGAGUAACACGUGGGCAACCUGCCUGUAAGUUGGGGAUAACUCCGGGAAACCGGGGCUAAUACCGAAUGAUAAGGAGUGACGCAUGUCACUGCUUUGAAAGAUGGUUUCGGCUAUCGCUUACAGAUGGGCCCGCGGUGCAUUAGCUAGUUGGUAGGGUAAAGGCCUACCAAGGCAACGAUGCAUAGCCGACCUGAGAGGGUGAUCGGCCACACUGGGACUGAGACACGGCCCAGACUCCUACGGGAGGCAGCAGUAGGGAAUCUUCCGCAAUGGACGAAAGUCUGACGGAGCAACGCCGCGUGUAUGAAGAAGGUUUUCGGAUCGUAAAGUACUGUUGUUAGAGAAGAACAAGGAUAAGAGUAACUGCUUGUCCCUUGACGGUAUCUAACCAGAAAGCCACGGCUAACUACGUGCCAGCAGCCGCGGUAAUACGUAGGUGGCAAGCGUUGUCCGGAUUUAUUGGGCGUAAAGCGCGCGCAGGCGGUCUUUUAAGUCUGAUGUGAAAGCCCCCGGCUUAACCGGGGAGGGUCAUUGGAAACUGGAAGACUGGAGUGCAGAAGAGGAGAGUGGAAUUCCACGUGUAGCGGUGAAAUGCGUAGAUAUG
rnacentral:rRNA from 1 species